UUAGCCGGGUGCUUAUUCUUGCGAGUACACGUCACAGGCCACACUGUAUUAGGCGCCAACUCUUUCCUCCUCGCUGAAAGUGCUUUACAACCCGAAGGCCUUCUUCACACACGCGGCAUGGCUGCAUCAGGGUUUCCCCCAUUGUGCAAUAUUCCCCACUGCUGCCUCCCGUAGGAGUCUGGACCGUGUCUCACUUCCAGUGUGGCUGAU
rnacentral:rRNA from 1 species